rfam:Triticum aestivum genome assembly, contig: Triticum_aestivum_CS42_TGACv1_scaffold_405373_5BL
AUUCUACUCCCUCCGUUGCACAAUACAUGCCUUCUAUUUGUCAAAAUAUAUAUGUAUCUAGACAUGUUUUAGUAUAUCGGUACAUCCAUUUUUCGACAAAUGGAAGUCAAGUAUUUUGGAACGGAGGGAGUACACA